UACGGGGGGGGCAAGCGUUGUUCGGAAUUACUGGGCGUAAAGGGCUCGUAGGUGGCCAACUAAGUCAGACGUGAAAUCCCUCAGCUUAACUGGGGAACUGCGUCUGAUACUGGAUGGCUUGAGUUUGGGAGAGGGACGCGGAAUUCCAGGUGUAGCGGUGAAAUGCGCAGAUAUCAGGAAGAACACCCGUGGCGAAGGCGAGUCUCUGGACGACUCCUGACACUGAGGCACGAAAGCCGGGGGAGCAAACAGG
rnacentral:rRNA from 1 species